CAAAAACAUAACAAAAUAUACACGUAAAAUAUCACGUAUGAUCAAAUUACAACCUCCAAAGCGUUGUCAAAUUAAGCUUUACACAUGCAAUCAGGAGCAGGGUAAGUAUAUAUCGACUGCUUCUCCUUGCGUAUCCGCAUUUGUCCUUGUCUAUUCUUGUGACCCUGCUGUACUGCCUGCUGAAAUUCAGACCACUCAAUAGUCUUGUUGAGGAAGAGCUUGCCUAACAAUGUCAUGUUUGGUCUAACGGUCUUAAGAUUCUUGUAUGCUCGAUGCCCCAACAGUGCAUUGUGCAUAUUGCCGGGAGAGGCAGAAAUGAAUAUAUCACUCUGCAUGCUCACGUAAUAAUCCACAGCUGCUAGUAAAGAAGCUUUUCCUUCUACUUCAGAUAGUUCAUGAGAAGAAGCAAGGCUUUUCUUGUCCUCCAUAAAUGGAAAUAACUGGCGGAGUGCUGAUAUCCUUGCUUCUCCACCGUAAACCUUGUGGGAAGCAAGAUAUAGGCGUGUGCUGUUGUUAAAUCCCAAGGCUGACAAAAGAAGUCCUAUCUCUUCCGGAGUUAAUGGACAACGCCCUUGGCCUCUUAACUCUUCAUCUGUGAAUUGGGAGUUUAGCACUCUCCCUUGCCAAAGUACUUGCCGAUAUUUUGCAAGAGCAAGUUUCUCAGCUUUGCCGCCACCAAAAUCACAAGCUGAGUGAGCAGCCAUAUCUUUAUCAAAGCGAAGAUGCAAUACAACAUACUUCCCAGCUCCUGCUCUGUCAUUUUCCCAAUUGUGGAAGUCUGUAGCGCUUGAUGCGUUAUUUAAACCAGGAGGGCUACGCAGACGACUGACGAGUGCAUCGCCUAAUCUUCUGACAUGGGGAACAAAAACUAGAGCGUGAAAGUUGACCUUACAGCGCAGAUGCUGGAUGUCUGAAGG
rnacentral:misc_RNA from 1 species